rnacentral:rRNA from 1 species
UACGUAGGGGGCGAGCGUUGUCCGGAUUUACUGGGCGUAAAGGGUGAGUAGGCGGUUAUAUAUGUCAGAUGUAAAAGGCACAGGCUUAACUUGUGUAAGCAUUUGAAACUGUAUAACUUGAGUGCAGGAGAGGUAAGUGGAAUUCCUAGUGUAGCGGUGAAAUGCGUAGAUAUUAGGAGGAACACCAGUGGCGAAGGCGACUUACUGGACUGUAACUGACGCUGAGUCACGAAAGCGUGGGUAGCAAACA